CUCAAUGCGGUAUUUUUGUCCGCCGGUCUACCAGCGCGGUCACGUCAGUGCAGCAGGGCCGGGCUGAGCUGUGACGCUCACAGCCGGAAAGUUUUAUCAACCUGACGACGAUCAUCAAUAGGUGGUUGAUAUGAAGGAUUUACCAGAAAAAACAAAACAAAACAAAACAAAACAAAACAGUACGUUGUUUUUUUUUAAUAUAGUUCAGAUAACGUGGAAUGUCUAAAGCAGAUGCUGUAAGAGGUGCCGUUCUGGCCCACGGGAAAACUUAAUCUGCACCAGAUACUGUACACCUGCAGAAAGCCGGCAGUGCAAGAGAAUCAACAAUUUCAGCGGGGCUGGCAUAAUAUCAUAACACUCCCACUGUCUCUCUGCAGCAACAAGACGUUGACAGCAUGACUCAGGAUGAGGAAAUACAAACGUCAAUAUUUAAUCAUGUCAGAAAGGAGCCGGCAGGGCGGCCACGGGUACGAGAUGCAUGCAGGUAAACACAUCUCGAGGACCCGAGAAGAGACGAGAGAGCUCAUUCAUGGGUUCCUAAUAAAACCCUCCCAUCGGCCGCUCGAAGCAGGGGCGAUAGUCUCUGACCGGAAACGGCUGUUGUAGCGCCCAUUCACAAAAAGGGUGAAGAAACAAAGCGUUUACAGGUCAACGAGACAUACGCGGAUUGCACGCCAGGUUAUGGAAACAAUAACACGUAACUGUAGGGUAACCUGCAGGCAAUACGACUCUAGGGGUGUCAGCGUGGAUCUAGACGAUCUAGACCGGGCAGAUCUUGUGUAACCUGAAUCCACAGUCAGGCACAAACCAGAGGACAGCAAUGGAAACGGAUGUGAAGCCUCUUUACACAGAGGGUUGUGGGAGUUAGGAACAAGGUACCCAGCUGCUCAGAUUUCUUUCAGUUAGCUACCCAGCGACCACACGAGCGAAACAGACCAAAUGGCCUUUUCUGCUCCGACUGGCUGUGGCCUGAUUGGCUGGUGUGUCAUCCUUGGUCUGGAGCGCUGUUCCUGCAGCAGCACUCCUGUGCUCUGUUCCAGUUUUCACAAAGGGAAGCUCUUUUUCAGAGCACAGCCGGGCUUGAGGAGGGGAUGCAAGGAGUACACCUACCUCACUCCACCGUUACUGCAGGACAGGAGACCGGUCAGUCCCAGCAGUGACGAAGGACAGGGGAAAAGGCUCUUCUGAGCAGCAGCACCUACCCAUGUGUAUGGAAAGACAGAAACUGAAGCACAGUGACAGAAGGGAGGAAAGGGAAGGGAACUACUAUAAGACACAUCGUCAGCUAGCAACAAGCUGCACGAUCUCCCUGUCCUGCUGCCCCCACCAGACUCACACUACAGGCCUCUCCUGGCAAUGAGUAUGUUUGCACACAGCCACUUUCUGAUGAGUUCACAUUUGGAUGCUAAUCCAUACUGUGGAUGUAAAACAUGGCUCAGACUGCACAAUCAGGGGCUUUGCUGUGCCACCUCCCCUUUGAAAGAGAUCUUUGUUCUCCCCAGGGUGGAACAUAACCCUUCUGUUAGCUGCGCUUGGUUAAUUGUUAUUAACUAGUGCUAUUACUAGUAGUGUUUUAAUGUUAUUGCUGUCGAAAGGGUAUUUCUGGUGUCUGAGCACUCUGGUGUCUGACACCAGCACCAGAAGGUGGGCUGAUGUCCUCUGUAAACACUACUGGGGGUGUCACCAGACUCUCCGCCCAGCAGCCCAGCCACGGGAAAGCUCUGGGGUUGGCAGACUGUCCUCCCCUUCACUCUUCUGAAGCCACAGGGAUUUGUAGUCUGAUAUUGAGCUUAAUAAAUGUCAAGCAUGCUGAUGGAGAGGACUAUAGCCCAGGUGGCAGAGUUCAGACUAAUCCUCUAUUUGUCUGAUGUGAAAAAAAGACACACACAGUGUGUACUGUAUAUAUGUAACUGCAGAAACCAGAGCUCCUUCUCCUCCAGGCGGUCUAAUGGACUCUGUCGUCCCCCGUGUUUGGAGCUGCUGCACAGAAUCAGGGAGUGCUAGGCCUGGGAAUGUAACUGGCUUUGUUGCAGGCAGGUCGGAGCAGGGUACUGGAAAGCUACUGAGUAGGGAAUAUUAUGUUCAGCUUGCAAUAUCCAGCCUCUCCAAGCCAUCACCUAGCCAGAAGCAGCAGGCUAGAUAAUGUUUUUCUUUGAUUGCUCUAUGGGAUUUAAACCUCUGCCGCAGCCCGAGCGAGCGAUUUUUCCAUAGAAAAAAUAAUUCAAACAAAAUGUGGAGAAGAAUGACGCGGAACCUUGCCAGGCUGCAGCUGAAAUUCUUUUGAGAAUUUCAUACCAACCUCCGAGCAUCCCUUUCUUGCUGCGAAAUCUUUCCUGAGCUGACGGAGUGCCAGUCUGAGUGACUGUCAUUGUCCAUGAGGAGCCCAGCUGUGCUGUGAUGUUACAGCACCAUCAGCCACCACCUCAGUCACGGCACCUUGACAGUGCUCUCCCGUCUUUCCGUAGGACCUUCCCUUUAUUUCCUAAGAGACAGAUUGAGGUUGUGACUAGGGGUGAUUCUGCCAUCAUCAUCUAAGUGUCCUCUUACUGAGAGAUGAUGAGACCUGGGUGGGAAUCUAAAGGCAGAUGCCCUCCAGGGAGCUGCUCUCCAGGGUACAUUUACCCUGCCUGAAAGGAUGACAUCAGGGUACAUGUGUCUAUCAGGCUGUGAUACUCAUCUCACAUCCCUGCAGCUCCUGGCCUGAGCAUUGCCCUAGGGAUGGUGGGGGCAGAGAAUGGCUGAAGUCUCACACCUGCGCACCCAUUAAUAAUAUUGCCUCUGUUAUUACUGCUGUCCCUGCUGCUUCUACAGGGGUUGUUUCUUCUACUUCUAGUUUCACUACAUAAUGUCCACUGUGGACUUUUAAAUUUGGGCUUCCUAAAGUUCCCUCUGAAUGCUGUGAAGCCAUUUCAGCCAUUUCUCACAUUGACCUAAACUCUAUAGGAAUUACAAUCCUCUGGGACGAAAACACUAUAGAAAAGCCAGGAAUUAGUAUUAUCUUACAUUGCUGUUAGUAACACUACUCCUAGUAUUAUUAUUAGUCCAUAAAUUGCAGUAUUUAUUACUGCAAGUACUACAGCUGCUACUAAUGCUGCUAAUAAUAAAAAAGUAAGCAAUGUUUAAAAGCAAAAUGUUAUACACUACUGUUUAGAGUUCAGAUGCCCUGUAGUGGGUUGUCUUCCCUAAUAGUGAAUAAUUGGAAUUAUUUGUGAUAUUCAGUGUUUUUGCUAAAAAUCAUCUUAAAAGCAACUAAUGUGGGAUGUCAGGAGGAACAGAAGUGUUGAAUUACAAAAUCAAUUCUUCUCUAAAGCAGUUUUCUGACUUUAUUAAACUCGAAACAGACGGAACUUUGGCUUGGUAAUCAACACUGCCACCUCCCAUCUCCAGUGUACUGUGGGAAUUCGGGCUCAAGGUAUCUGUCUGUGUGGAGUGUGCAUGUUCUCUCUGCUUGUGCAUAGUUUCCCCCGGCAAUUCUGGUGGGGGGUGGCCAUGUGCUCACUCCUGCUUUGCAUCCUGUGCUGCUGGGAUAGGCCCAGGCUUUCCGUGACUCCAAUCAGGAUAAGCAGCUUACCGACAGUGGCUGAAUGGAUUUACAGGACUGCACUAAGCUUUCACCUGUAUAGCAGCUGCAGACGCAUUGAGAAUGACAAAGGAGUUUGCACUGGAAAUGCAAGAGUUAAGUCUGGGGGAGUUCAUGAGAUAUAGGUCAGCAGAAAAUACUCAAGGGCAGACCGUCUGUCCAAAGGACAGGAAUCUCACAUGAUUAAGAGAAACAGAAAAAAAAGGCAAGUGGCCAUGAAGCUGGAUUAUAGCCAUGAUAAGAGAGCUCUGCACAGUGAACAACUGCAUCUGCAGUUGAAGGCAUAUAACUGCAAGAAAAAUGGGGAAGAAAAUGAGUAUUGCACCACACUCUGAGGCUCUGUGGUGGGGUAUCAUGACCGUAGGCUUGUGCCAAACAGUCAUUCCUCCCCUCUCCUCUAAUGCUUCCUAAAAUACGUUCUGCCUUGUGAAUCACUAGUUCUAGUCGAAAACAACAGUUAAAAAAUGGAAAGAAGGAAGAGCAAAGUGUGAGAAGUAUGGGACAGGUAAGAGGCAAAGGAACAGGAAGCAGGAGACGAUAGAUACCAGCCCUUCAAUACCAGUGUGUGCUGGAGCUUGAGGAAAACUGCCCAACCCCCCCCGGUCUGUGUCCCCUUCAUUUUUCAAACUGACACUUUAAUCAGCACGGAGGACAGCCCAGGCAGGGGCCCUGACACUGAGCUACAGCUCCACGGUUAAAGGCUACAGUGGCUCUAAUGGGAAGAUUCAAUGUUAAAUAAUGCCAGUAGACUACAGAUCGGCAAGGGGGGUUGGAUGCUUUGUGUAUAAACAAAACCUUACAGUGGGAAUGUCAGAGGUGUCAUUUUUCCUGCGCCUUUUGAUUCAAGUUUUCUCUUCUAUUAAUAAAACCAAGCAAAAAGUCCAAAGCUACAUCAAAGUAAGGAAAUUAAGAAAUGCCCAUUUGCAACUUGCAGAUUGUGCUCUGGUCUAUAAAGCGUUUAUCUAUUUUGCAAACUUCAGAACAGCUUUUCCAAGUUCCACUGAAUGCAUAAAGGCUACUGCUGCGAAAAUUAAAAAGGAGUUACCUCCGGCGUUUCCCAUGACAUGAGUCCCUAUGGCCCAUCUGGCUAGUUGUUGCUGGUUUAAGAGGAUUCUUCAACAUCUCCAUCACAUUAUGUGUCAGAUGCAAGCUGGGCUUUGAGUAAUUUAAUCUUCCUCUCACUGACCCCAGGAUUAGAAAAACUGUGCCUUAACAGGCCUGUAACGCUCUCCCACAUUCUGUACCAUUUCUGGCUGAUACAAGGAGACAACCAUUCAAACUGUGUGGAUGAGAACAAUCCCCAGACUUCCUCCUGCACUGACCACACUGCACUGCUUGUCCUAGAUGCACUGCUGGACAUCCAGUGUGUGGUCAGAAAUGGAAAGGCAAAGUAGGUUUGCAAAGGAACAGAUAAAGGUUUAUUGCCCGC